rnacentral:rRNA from 1 species
CACGUAGGGUGCGAGCGUUGUCCGGAAUUAUUGGGCGUAAAGAGCUCGUAGGCGGUGUGUCGCGUCGGCCGUGAAAACCUGCAGCUUAACUGUGGGCUUGCGGUCGAUACGGGCAUCACUGGAGUUCGGCAGGGGAGACUGGAAUUCCUGGUGUAGCGGUGAAAUGCGUAGAUAUCAAGAGGAACACCUGCGGCGAAGGCGGGUUGCUGGGCCGACACUGACGCUGAAGCGCGAAAGCCAGGGGAGCGAACGGG